CAGCGCCACGAGUGGGAACCGCAUUUAUUUGGCCUAAAGCGUCCGUAGCUGGUUCGGAAAAUCCUUUGUGAAAUCAUCUAGCUUAACUAGAUGGCGUGCAGGGGACACUACUGGACUCGAGACCGGGAGGAGUCAGGGGUAUUCUGUGGUGAGCGGUAAAAUGCAAUAAUCCUCAGAGGACCACCUGUGGCGAAGGCGCCUGACUAGAACGGUUCUGACAGUGAGGGACGAAAGCUAGGGGAGCGAUCCGGAUUAGAUACCCGAGUAGUCC
rnacentral:rRNA from 1 species